rnacentral:lncRNA from 1 species
UGAUGCACGGCUGGCUCUGCUGUUCACUCCUCGGGGAAGAUGCGGUUUGGGAAGUGCUCAUCGAUUGAUGGCUUAGACUGGGGGACACCACAAAUCAGUGUGGUAGGUGAUCUGGGGAGGGUUGGGAAGGACAGCAGCAGAGAACUGCUCCUGGACGGCAGGUGAGCGUCUAGCUUCUGCGGAAAACGAUAGCCAGAAUGCUGCGGGAAGCUGCUGUGAGGAGCAGAGGAGGUCAGGGAACCUGGCAGAAUUCCCAGGCAGAAUAGCCCCAAAGCCAACCCUGAACUUCAGAGGGGCUCAGAGCCAGCUCCUGGGGGUGAGGAGGGCCACAGAAAUAAUUCGAUGCUCUUCUGUCCUCCCUGCAGACUAUGGAUGCCUUGGACACCAUGCUGGUGGCCUUCGUACGCAACUGUCCCAACACCAGUGUCAGCAUAGAGUUGGAGAAUAUGUUGAAGGUUUGGCAUUUGCAAAGAAUUUCCAAAGAAUCCUCUCCGGUCACAUUUGCAGACCACUGUCAACCCAGCAACUUCUCUUCUCGCAGGCGCUGCUGGACUUUGCCCACUCCAAAAACCCAGCUGUGCGUGAGAGGGCUGUGAGGAGGGUUGAGAAGCUGGGUGAUUUCAUCAUCAGUUAUUUUGUGAGCGAGAACUCAGAUGACUAUGAAAAAUACAAGCACAGCUACGAUGAUUCCAGAGAGCUCUACAUCCCCACCCUGGGACAGCUGCUGGGCCACCUCUUCAUUUUCUGCAGUGGCAAUGAAUCCAUGAGAAACGCCGCUUUGGAUGCUCUUUUUCGCUUCUUCAAAAUCUUAAAGGAAACAAGAGGUAAGAAGGUGUGGUGGGCAGCGUCUGUCCGCACACAGACAUCUCCUGGUAUGUCUGCUUGUUCUCCUGAGUAUUGUGAAGGAUUGCUUUUGUGCUUGGUGGAGGCUGCGCACGGAAUUCUGCCAGGUUCCCUGGCC